GUGACACGGUGACACGGUGACAGGUGACAGGUGACACGGUGACAGGUGACACAGUGACAGGAGACACGGUGGCAGUGGCUCCUUAGCGCGCAGCCACGGCUCCGGGGAUGUUGGGGACAGGGAGAUGUGAUGAUGCAGUGACAGGUGACACGGUGACACGGUGACACAGUGACACGGUGACACAGUGACACGGUGAC